rnacentral:rRNA from 1 species
GCACAAGCGGUGGAGCAUGUGGUUCAAUUCGACGCAACGCGAAGAACCUUACCUGGGCUCGAAAUGUUGUGGACCGGGGUAGAAAUAUCCCUUCCCGCAAGGGCUGCAAUAUAGGUGCUGCAUGGCUGUCGUCAGCUCGUGUCGUGAGAUGUUGGGUUAAGUCCCGCAACGAGCGCAACCCUUAUUGCCAGUUGCCAGCAAGUAAAGUUGGGCACUCUGGCGAAACCGCCCCGGAUAACGGGGAGGAAGGUGGGGAUGACGUCAAGUCCUCAUGGCCUUUAUGUCCAGGGCUACACACGUGCUACAAUGGCCGGUACAAACCGCUGCAAACCCGCGAGGGGGAGCUAAUCGGAAAAAGCCGGCCUCAGUUCGGAUUGGAGUCUGCAACUCGACUCCAUGAAGCUGGAAUCGCUAGUAAUCGUGGAUCAGCAUGCCACGGUGAAUACGUUCCCGGGC